ACUCACUCUGUUUUUGAAAACUUAGAACAGUUGGAACCUUUUGAACAACCACUUAGUGCCAACGCUGCCCUUGAUCUUCUCUUUACAGUACAUGGGGUUUACACUUCGUGAGCCAGAUGCAAUCCCAGUGGACCUCUGUUGGGGAACACAGGAAGAAUUUUCCCCUCAUGUCUGCAGGGAGCAUUUUCCAGCCAGAAUGCAUAAACCAUUGAGAAUAUCUCCCAUGGAGCCCGCUGAGAGAAAAAGUGCAAAGAGAUGGGAAAAUGGAACUGCGAAGAUUACCGCAGUUGACUGGAUGGAAAACAAGGAAGAGGCCUCGGUGGACAGCUAAGACAUAGACGUGCUGUUCUGGAAGGUGUCAUCGGAGGACAGCUCAGUCAUGUGUAUACAGCUGUCCCUCUGGGGUUUGGUUCCAGGACCUCCUGCAGAUACCCAAAUCCCUGGAUGCUCAAGUUCCUGAUACGAAAUGGCAUAAUAUUUGCAUAUAGCCUAUGGAAUCCUCCCAUAUACUUUAAAUCAUCUUUAUAUUACUUAUAUUAUUCUAUAUUACUCAUAAUGUCUAAUACAAUGCAAAGGCUAUAUAAAUAGUUGUUAUACCAAAAAAACCUAGAUAUUAUAUUGUAAAAUACUAAGCCACUGCUUUGAGUUACUUUUCAUUGACAUUUCUCACACAUGAUGUGCCCUCCACAUGAUAAUAAACCUGCUUGGUUUUCUCUUGUUAAAAAAAAUAGUUGUUAUACUGUACUGUUUAGGGAAUAAUGACCAAAAAAAGCCUGUUCAUAUUCAGUACAGAUGCAGUUUUUUUCCAAAUAUUUUCAAUCCAUGGUUGGUUGAAUCCACGAAUGUGAAACACACAGAUACAGAGGGCUGACUGUACUUCACUCUUAGAAAGUCUUUUGUUUUUUGUUUUGAGACAGAGUCUUGCUCUGUCAUCCAGUCUGGAGUGCAGUGGUGCAAUCUCAGCUCACUGCAACCUCCGCCUUCCGGGUCCAAGUGAUUCUCCUGCCUCAGCCUCCCAAGUAGCUGGGAUUACAGGCAGGUACUAACAUGCCCGGCUAAUUUUUGUAUUUUUAGUAGAGAUGGGGGUUCGCCAUGUUAGCUAGGCUGGUCUCAAACUCCUGGCCUCAUGUGAUCCACCAUCCUCAGCCUCCCAAAGUGCUGGGAUUACAGGCAUGAGCCACUGCACCAGCCUAAAAGUCUUUUAUAGGAGAGAUUUUGCUAGACCUUGCUUUUAAUUGAUGC
rnacentral:lncRNA from 1 species